GGGGUGGUAGCUCAGUGGUAGAGUGCUUGCCUAGCAUGUGUGAGGCACUGGGUUUGAUUCUCAGCACUUCA
rnacentral:tRNA from 1 species